UCCGUUGACCAACGUUUGCCAUUUCCACAGC
rnacentral:piRNA from 1 species